GAUCAGCCAAUGUUCAAGUAUAAAAGCGGUUGGAGAGGGUAUCUCUUGUCUGCAGCAGCAGCUGGAUACGAAGGUGCAUUGAGAGCUCCCAAGUGUCCAAAGCUGAAGCCAGAAGCCAAGGUUUCCUGAAUUGGGGCCAAUAGUAGGAGGAGGAAGAGCACACUCUGCAGGAGCUUUUCAGUCACUGAUUCAG